rnacentral:rRNA from 1 species
AGAGUUUGAUCAUGGCUCAGGAUGAACGCUAGCGGCAGGCUUAAUACAUGCAAGUUGAGGGGCAGCAUGAUAUACGCGAGUAUAUUGAUGGCGACCGGCGGACGGGUGAGUAAAAGGUAGGAGACCUACCUCAUACAGGGGGAUAGCAUAGAGAAAUCUGUGGUAAUACCCCAUGAGGUUAUAUGAAUAGAGGCAUAUAAUCAAAGUAUACGAGAGUAUGCGGUAUGAGAUGGGCCUACUGACCAUUAGCUAGUUGGUGAGGUAAGGGCUCACCAAGGCGAAGAUGGUUAGGGGUUUUGAGAGAGAGAUCCCCCACAUUGGAACUGAGAUACGGUCCAGACUCCUACGGGAGUCAGCAGUAGGGAAUAUUGGGCAAUGGGCGGAAGCCUGACCCAGCCAUGCCGCGUGAAGGAAGACGGCCUUAUGGGUUGUAAACUUCUUUACUAUACGAAUAGAGGUUAGUACGAGAUACUAAUAGGAAGGUAGUAUAGCAAAAAGCACCGGCUAACUCCGUGCCAGCAGCCGCGGUAAUACGGAGGGUGCAAGCGUUAUUCGGAAUUACUGGGUUUAAAGGGUGCGUAGGCGGUUAUAUAAGUUGUCAGUGAAAGGCUACGGCUCAACUGUAGUAGUGCUGGCGAUACUGUAUAGCUAAGAACAUGGGAGGGGUACCUGGAAUGUGUGGUGUAGCGGUGAAAUGCAUAGAUAUCACACAGAACACCGGAGGCGAAGGCGGGGUACUAGACCAUAGUUGACGCUGAGGCACGAAAGCGUGGGGAGCAAACAGGAUUAGAUACCCUGUAGUCCACGCCCUAAACGAUGAUCACUAGAUAUUGGCGACAGACAGUCAGUGUCCAAGCGAAAGUGAUAAGUGAUCCACCUGGGGAAUACGGCCGCAAGGUUAAAACUCAAAUGAAUUGACGG